rnacentral:misc_RNA from 1 species
GAUGAAGAACGCAGCGAAAUGCGAUACUUGGUGUGAAUUGCAGAAUCCCGUGAACCAUCGAGUCUUUGAACGCAAGUUGCGCCCGAAGCCAUUAGGCCGAGGGCACGCCUGCCUGGGCGUCACCCCCCGCCCCCCCCCCCCCCACCCCUUCGGGAUUGCGGGGGGCGGAUGAUGGCCUCUCGUGCGCCUCGUCGCGCGGUUGGCCUAAAUGCCAAGUCCUCGGCGACGCACGCCACGACAAUCGGUGGUUGCGAAACCUCGGUUGCCUGUCGUGUGCGGUCGUCGCGCAUCGAGGGCUCGAAAAAAUUGCCGGGCUUCGGCUCGACUUUCAACGCGACCCCAGGUCAGGCGGGGUUACCCGCUGAAUUUAAGCAUAUCAAUAAGCGGAGGA